rnacentral:rRNA from 1 species
UACAGAGGGGGCAAGCGUUGUUCGGAAUUACUGGGCGUAAGGGCGCGUAGGCGGCCAACUAAGUCGGACGUGAAAUCCCCGGGCUCAACCCGGGAACUGCGUCCGAUACUGGAUGGCUUGAAUCCGGGAGAGGGAUGUGGAAUUCCAGGUGUAGCGGUGAAAUGCGUAGAUAUCUGGAGGAACACCGGUGGCGAAGGCGGCAUCCUGGACCGGUAUUGACGCUGAGGCGCGAAAGCCAGGGGAGCAAACGGG